AGUGAACGCUGGCGGUAGGCCUAACACAUGCAAGUCGAACGGCAGCACAGUAAGAGCUUGCUCUUACGGGUGGCGAGUGGCGUACGGGUGAGGAAUACAUCGGAAUCUACUUUUUCGUGGGGGAUAACGUAGGGAAACUUACGCUAAUACCGCAUACGACCUACGGUUGAAAGCAGGGGAUCUUCGGACCUUGCGCGUUUGAAUGAGCCGAUGUCGGAUUAGCUAGUUGGCGGGGUAAAGGCCCACCAAGGCGACGAUCCGUAGCUGGUCUGAGAGGAUGAUCAGCCACACUGGAACUGAGACACGGACCAGACUCCUAAGGGAGGCAGCAGUGGGGAAUAUUGGACAAUGGGCGAAAGCAUGAUCCAGCCAUACCGCGUGGGUGAAGAAGGACUUCGGGUUGUAAAGCCCUUUUGUUGGGAAAGAAAAGCAGCAGGUUAAUACCCCGCUGUUCUGACGGUACCCAAAGAAUAAGCACCGGCUAACUUCGUG
rnacentral:rRNA from 1 species